AUUAAAGAAACUUGAAAAUUAGUAAUAUGAGAAUAGAAUUUCACUCAUUCCAUAAGCAUGAUCUAGUGAAGUCCUAUCUAGCUAUUUGGAGUUGGCUAUGCAGAGCCCACUCUUAGUGACUCAUCUAUAUGAAUCAGGACAAAACACCUGGAAGGAAAAAAAAUCUGGAUCAUGAUGAACCUGAUUUCAAUUUGAUGGGAGAUGUGAACUCUUAAGCACAUCUAAAUGACGACCUCUUUAGUGUUCUAUCGUCUGACAUACCACCAAGCUUUUUUCUUGUUUCAUUUUGAAGUUCUCCCAUAUCCAUCAUGGUAAGUUGGUUUGUCAGAUAAGCCAUGUCUCACAUGGUCAAGAUGGAGCCCUAAUGUGAGGACAGAAAUUGCAGCCUUAGGGUGACGGGAAAAUGAAGAUCCCCAUUUUCAACAAAUCUGAGAAGAAAAUGGCCAGAUGUGUAGUCCAGUACGCAUGGAAGCAAUUUCUGGCACUUCUACAAGUCAAAAGCAUACAUUUCAAUGUUGAGUCAUCCAUGGAUGCUGGCGUAUUUUAGGCAAUAUAAAUGAGUAGUCCAGGUGUAUGAAACUGUCAUUAAGCAGAGACCAAAUUUUCAACUCAUCUCUGUCCAACUUAUACUAACCUGACAGUAUUAAGUUUGCUGAAGCCUCUUCCUCUUGUGGAUGAAGAGUAGUGAGGUAUUGCAAUUUGCUGUGCCUUUGUCUUUGGCAUUUCUAGGGUGUCAUGUUAAAGUUGCUGUUCAUCAGUUGCUUAACAUUGAUAGAAAGCUGUCCUUAGCCUUUGGGAUUGUUUCCUGAUGGAGGGACACAUGCCUUGUUACAAGUUGAGAUUGCUAUGAACCAGGAAUUGCCACCUCUGACAAGUUAAUUAAAAUGAUCUGUGAAGAUCUUGAUUAAUUAGGUUUAAUUCUUUUCAAGGGGGAAUACAUGCUGAAUUAACAAAGGCAAUUCACAUCUUAAAAGUAAUUGCUUUGUUAUUAAAAUAAUGGUAAUAGAAUCGCUCUUUGCUGACCCUUUAAUUGUGGCUAUAUUGCUUCUGCCAAUUCCAUCCU
rnacentral:misc_RNA from 1 species